rnacentral:rRNA from 1 species
AUUGAACGCUGGCGGCAUGCCUUACACAUGCAAGUCGAACGGUAACAGGUCUUCGGAUGCUGACGAGUGGCGAACGGGUGAGUAAUACAUCGGAACGUGCCUAGUAGUGGGGGAUAACUACUCGAAAGAGUGGCUAAUACCGCAUGAGAUCUACGGAUGAAGGCAGGGGAUCGCAAGACCUUGUGCUACUAGAGCGGCCGAUGGCAGAUUAGGUAGUUGGUGGGAUAAAAGCUUACCAAGCCGACGAUCUGUAGCUGGUCUGAGAGGACGAUCAGCCACACUGGGACUGAGAAACGGCCCAGACUCCUACGGGAGGCAGCAGUGGGGAAUUUUGGACAAUGGGCGCAAGCCUGAUCCAGCAAUGCCGCGUGCAGGAUGAAGGCCUUCGGGUUGUAAACUGCUUUUGUACGGAACGAAAAGCCCCGGGUUAAUACCCGGGUGGGAUGACGGUGCCCAAAGAAUAAGCACCGGCUAACUUCGUGCCAGCCGCCGCGGUAA